UUCCUCUUACACAAAGCCAAACAUUUCUUUCUCACAGAAUCAAUGUAAACAUUUCUUCUUUUUCUUCUUCCAUUUCUUUCUCUUUCCAAUUUCUAUUUCUCUGACAAUAACAGUUUCAAAGAAGAUAUAACGAAAAAACGAACUUCUUCUCCUUUUGGACCGUGUUCUCUUUGCUCUCCUGUUCAUUAUCUCCACAUGGCAGAUUGGCAGAUGUAAACAAGAUAGUUGAGGAUGCUUGGUUCGAGGUCUUAGGAGCUUAGGACUUGGAUCCUUUAUUUUGCCUUUUGUGAUUUAAAUUGUUAUUUG